rnacentral:lncRNA from 1 species
UUUAAAUCAUUAAAUAUAUAUUUUCUGCUUACCUACUAUAUUUUUAGCAAGUUUUGAGAUUUUUGACGAAAAAUUACGAAAAUACCCCUGUGAGCCAGAAAAUAAUAUUUUAUUGUUCUUAUUUGCAAAUGACUUAUGAUUUUUUUGAAAUCGAGAUUUAAUAAUUGUUGCUCAUCGGGGAGAUGCGGAAGUUGAUGCUAAGCCUUGCGGGGUUUCAAUCGGCAUUCGAGGUGAAGAAUGUCUGUCGAGGCCUCGCGGCGGUUGUCAUGGGCCCGAUGGGGAGUUAUGGGUCGUGACAUCAUUGCAACUAUAAAAGGUGGCUUUUGAGUCAUUUUGAAGUAAAAAAAGACUCGCAUUUCAUUUGGAAACCCUAGCAAGACCCUUAAGCUUAUCUUUUCUCUUUAACCUUUAUCUUAGUCUUCUAUCAAGUAUUCAAAAGCCAUAGAAGCUCACUCACUCAUUUGAAAAUCCUUGAGCUGAAAUUUGUGAGAUUAUUUCUUCUCUUUGUACAUGAAGCUUAAACCUGUAGCACCCAACCUUUGUAGAGACAUUCUUGCAAUACUUUGUACUCUUUUUGUAAAGGUUCUAGCUUAAUCUUGAAAAACUAUUUGUGGGUUUAUGGUUGAGUUCGUUAAAAACUAUCAUUGUAAGGGUUCCGCUUACUCUCGUGAAAAAACGUUGCUGAGG